UACGUAGGGGGCAAGCGUUGUCCGGAAUCAUUGGGCGUAAAGCGCGUGUAGGCGGCCAGGUAAGUCCGUUCUGAAAGCCCGGGGCUCAACCCCGGGAGGCGGAUGGAUACUGCUUGGCUCGAGUCCGGAAGAGGCGAGUGGAAUUCCUGGUGUAGCGGUGAAAUGCGCAGAUAUCAGGAGGAACACCGGUGGCGAAGGCGGGUCUCUGGGCCGAAAUUGACGCUGAGGAGCGAAAGCGUGGGGAGCAAACAGG
rnacentral:rRNA from 1 species